rnacentral:tRNA from 3 species
GGAAAGGUGCAGGAGCGGCUUAACUGGCACGCCUGGAAAGCGUGUGUAUCGAAAGGUACCGUGGGUUCGAAUCCCACCCUUUCCG